rnacentral:rRNA from 1 species
AAAGGAAUUGACGGGGCCCGCACAAGCGGUGGAGUAUGUGGUUUAAUUCGAUGCAACGCGAAGAACCUUACCUGGUCUUGACAUCCCGGAGACCCUUAGGAAACUAGGGGGUGCUUCCAUCUGGAAGAAUCUGGAGACAGGUGCUGCAUGGCUGUCGUCAGCUCGUGUCGUGAGAUGUUGGGUUAAGUCCCGCAACGAGCGCAACCCUUGCCUUUAGUUGCCAGCAGUUCGGCUGGGCACUCUAAAGGGACUGCCGGUGUUAACCGAGGAAGGUGGGGAUGACGUCAAGUCCUCAUGGCCUUUAUGACCAGGGCUACACACGUACUACAAUGGCCGAUACAAAGGGCAGCGACACUGCGAGGUGAAGCCAAUCCCGUAAAAUCGGUCUCAGUCCGGAUUGGAGUCUGCAACUCGACUCCAUGAAGUUGGAAUCGCUAGUAAUCGUGGAUCAGCAUGCCACGGUGAAUACGUUCCCGGGCCUU